rnacentral:rRNA from 1 species
UACGUAGGGACCAAGCGUUGUUCGGAUUUACUGGGCGUAAAGGGCGCGUAGGCGGCGCGGUAAGUCACUUGUGAAAUCUCUGAGCUUAACUCAGAACGGCCAAGUGAUACUGCAGUGCUAGAGUGUGGAAGGGGCAAUCGGAAUUCUUGGUGUAGCGGUGAAAUGCGUAGAUAUCAAGAGGAACACCUGAGGUGAAGACGGGUUGCUGGGCCAACACUGACGCUGAUGCGCGAAAGCCAGGGGAGCAAAAGGG